rnacentral:tRNA from 1 species
AGGAUAAUAGUUAAUAUUAACAUUUAAUUUGCAUUUAAAAAAUACUAUAAAUUUAGUUUAUCUUA